rnacentral:lncRNA from 1 species
CAUCGAAAGAUGAUGUUUACCGACAUCCAAAAGAAUGACCGGACAUUUACCGAUGACUGGGUGAGAAAUUUAUUGGGGAGAUACAAAUAUUUGCAACUGGAAACCAGAUAGGACAUUUACAGAUGACUCUACUGGGGAUUUCUAGCUGGGAAUUAUCAGACUUUUACCGAUGACUGAGGAAAAGACUCGAUGUUUACCGACAUCGAAAGAUGAUGUU